rnacentral:rRNA from 1 species
GACGAACGCUGGCGGCGUGCUUAACACAUGCAAGUCGAACGGAAAGGCCCUGCUUUUGUGGGGUGCUCGAGUGGCGAACGGGUGAGUAACACGUGAGUAACCUGCCCUUGACUUGGGGAUAACUUCAGGAAACUGGGGCUAAUACCUGAUAGGAGCUCCUGCUGCAUGGGGGGGGUUGGAAAGUUUCGGCGGUUGGGGAUGGACUCGCGGCUUAUCAGCUUGUUGGUGGGGUAGUGGCUUACCAAGGCUUUGACGGGUAGCCGGCCUGAGAGGGUGACCGGCCACAUUGGGACUGAGAUACGGCCCAGACUCCUACGGGAGGCAGCAGUCGGGAAUAUUGCACAAUGGGCGGAAGCCUGAUGAAGAAACGCCGCGUGCGGGAUGACGGCCUUCGGGUUGUAAACCGCUUUCGCCUGUGACGAAGCGUGAGUGACGGUAAUGGGUAAAGAAGCACCGGCUAACUACGUG